UUUGAAGGUUACAGAAUACUCCAGAGAGACAAAAGACAUGGAAUAAAGGAUCCCAGCACCCAAAAAGAGAAGGCUUAGUGUCUGCAGCCAUAGCCCUCGGCAAUCAGACAUCCUCCUCCUUAAUGUGAGGUUAAGAGGGGACUAGAAGUGCUCAGAGGAGGGACUGCCUCUGGCUAGUGCAGGGGAGAGGCAGGGGUGUUGAGGCACAGGAGCCAGAUGAGAGGAACAUCCGCAGAAAAGCAGUGAGAAGAACAUGAGAGCUUCUUGAUAGCAAUAGAACUUCCUAGACAGACUGGGAAGCGGGAUUGUAGCUUGAGGGGAUAUGACAAUAUGUGGUGGCCCUGAAUUUUCACUUUGGAAUGAACUGCUUUGGACCAGGAAGAAGCGCUGAGCCUAGGAAGACAGGAGGCACAGGGCUGUGUGGGUUUUUGUCUGGCAGGGACCUAUGAGCUUCACAGGACAAAUGGAUCAGGGGGCAGGAUAAAGCAUACACCUCCACCCCCACAGUGCUCUCUUAGCCAUCUCAGGCUUCCCAGAGCCCUUCACACUCACAGGCCUUUCUGCGUGGGUUCCCUUCCGCAGGCUGCGUAAACCAGUCCUGUUGUAGACCUUGUAGCAUCUGCUGCAGUGAUCUGGUUUGGGUUUCAGUAAUACUUGCGAUGGUUUGGAAGGAAAUGGGAAGUUUGCCUUCUAACUACUUUUUCUUUUUGAUUCAAGAACCCUAGCAGUUCUAUAACCUUCUAGCCUAAAACCAAAAUAGAAGACAAAUAAAUAAAAGGAAGUAAAAACAUCCAAUGGGCAUGGCCUGGCAGCAUUGCCAGAGAGAGCCCUCAGGGGCCCAGGCUUGUUCUGUGUUUUGCUCUUCCAUUCCUAGGAUGGACAGCACGAAAGAGGCAGUACAUGCUAACAAAACCAGGGUUCUGGAAGAAGGGAGAGGUGGUGAAUGGUUGUUUCAAGCAAUCAACAGCUUAUACUUCAAUGGAAAGAGGGUCGGAUUUGAUUCCUGAUCACAAAUCUUCACUUCUGUCACCCACUAAUCUCUGUGCCUUCAGGGGUGAAGAUCUACUGACCAUGAGGCCUUCCUCUCUCUUUGUGCUGGGUGCAACACAAGCCUACUCUUCCAGAAGACUCUUCUCUCCAGGAAGCCUUGGCAGGCUGCUUGAGCCUGAGAAGGACACUGUUGGGGAUGUUCUUAGUACCUUCCUGGAGAAGAGCAUGGACAUUUGCGUGAUGUCCAGCGGCUCUGUACUGGAACUUCCCUGCAAACCCAGAAACCAAAGGUAACAGGGUUAAGCCAUUCAGAACAGAAUCACUCCGGGCCAGUCUGAAGGGGAAAUGAGGUUGGCAUGUGAGCAGAGUCCCUUGGGGAGGCCAGUUCCCACUGCUACAGGGGCCUGUCUCUGAGCAGCCGUGUAGAUGCUGGGAAGACUGAGCAAGUGUCCUGAGGCUGGAGCUGGAAGGCUGGGGAGGAAGAAUGUUGUUUUCUAGCAUGGAUCAGUGUCUUAGUCUUUUCAGGCUGUGACAACAGAGUAUCAUAAAUAGGAUGGCAACAGUUCUAGAGGCUGGGAAGUCCAAGACCAAGGUCCUGGCAGAUUCAAUGUCUGGCGAGGGACUGCUUCCUCCUAGAUGGUCACUUCUUGUUGUGUCCUCACUUGGUAGAAGGAGCAAGGGUCUCUCUGGGCAUCUUUUAUUUGUUUCUUUUUUGCCUUUUUUUUGAGACAGGGUCUUAUUCUGCAGAUUUGACUUUCUGGGCUCAAGUAUCCCCCACGUCAACCUCCUGAGUAGCUGGGACUACAGGCACACACCACCAUACUCAGCUAAUUUUUUUAUCAUUUGUAGAGACAGGGUUUUGCCAUGUUGCUCAGGCCGGUCUUGAACUGCUGGGCUCAAGCUAUCUGCUUGCCUUGGCCUCCAAAGUGCUGGGAUUACAGACAGGAGCCACUGUGCCUAGCCUGGGACAUCUUUUAUAUGGGCACUAAUCUCAUUCACGAGGGCUCUGCCCCUAUGACCUAAUCCCCUCCCAAAGGCCCCGCCUCCUCAUACCAUCACCUUGGAGGUUAGGAUAUCAACUUAUGAAUUUUGGGGGGAAAUAAACAUUGAGACCAUAGCUGUCA
rnacentral:lncRNA from 13 species